GACGAACGCUGGCGGCGUGCUUAACACAUGCAAGUCGAACGGAAAGGCCCUGCUUGCAGGGUACUCGAGUGGCGAACGGGUGAGUAACACGUGGGUGAUCUGCCCUGCACUUCGGGAUAAGCCUGGGAAACUGGGUCUAAUACCGGAUAUGACCUUCCAUGUAGUGUGGGGGGUGGAAAGAUUUAUCGGUGUGGGAUGAGCCCGCGGCCUAUCAGCUUGUUGGUGGGGUAAUGGCCUACCAAGGCGUCGACGGGUAGCCGGCCUGAGAGGGUGGACGGCCACAUUGGGACUGAGAUACGGCCCAGACUCCUACGGGAGGCAGCAGCGGGGAAUAUUGCACAAUGGGCGGAAGCCUUAUGCAGCGACGCCGCGUGGGGGAUGACGGCCUUCGGGUUGUAAACCUCUUUCGACAGGGACGAAGCUUCGGUGACGGUACCUGUAUAAGAAGCACCGGCUAACUACGUG
rnacentral:rRNA from 1 species